rnacentral:rRNA from 1 species
UACGAGGGGGGCAAGCGUUGUUCGGAAUUAUUGGGCGUAAAGGGCGCGUAGGCGGUGCGGUAAGUCACCUGUGAAAACUCUGGGCUCAACUCAGAGCCUGCAGGCGAAACUGCCGUGCUGGAGUGUGGGAGAGGUGCGUGGAAUUCUCGGUGUAGCGGUGAAAUGCGUAGAUAUCGGAAGGAACACCAGUGGCGAAAGCGGCUUCCUGGUCCAGCACCGACGUUCAGGCACGAAAGCGUGGGGAGCAAACAGG